CUUCUGGAGUUGAUGGAAAUGAUCAUCUAUGUCUGUGUUUUCUGUUGGAAGGUGUUUGAUGGUUGGAUUCUGAAGGGGGAGAAAUUCCCCAGUUCCCAGGAUCAUCCUCUCCCCACCACAAUAAUUAAAAGAUGUAAUUAUUUAUUUAUUCAGUCAUGAGAGACACAGAGAGAGAGGCAGAGACACAGGCAGAGGAAGAAGCAGGCUCCAUGCAGGGAGCCCAAUGUGGGACUUGAUCCCAGGACUCCAGGAUCACACCCUGGGCUGAAGGUAGUGCUAAACUGCUGAGCCACCCGGGCUGCCCUGUUCCAGGGUUUUAUACACGGAAUAUCCAGUCUACUAUAUGCCAAGAAUUCUGAAAUCUGUAUUAGAAUUGUAUAUGAAAUUUUCUAAUGAUUUUUUUUGUUUUCCUUUUUUCUAUUUUUUAAGCAAUCCCUAUACCCAACAAGGGGCUCAAGAGUCAGAUGUUCUACUGGCUGAGCCAGCCAGGUACCUCUUGAGUUUUCAUUUUUGCUUGAAGGUGGAAAACUUGAACCUUUUGAAGUUCCCUCGGAGGCAAGCCUACUCUGAACCUCCAACACAGGGCAUCUUUCCCAAGACACUCAGCACACCCCUGUACUCUUUUAAAGAGUUCAUGCAAAAAAAAAAAAAAAAAAGAGUUCAUGCUCCACAGGGCAUCUGCCGAAUGGAAUUUA